rnacentral:rRNA from 1 species
GAUGAACGCUGGCGGCGUGCUUAACACAUGCAAGUCGAACGAAGCACCUUGAUUUGAUUCUUCGGAUGAAGAUCUUGGUGACUGAGUGGCGGACGGGUGAGUAACGCGUGGGUAACCUGCCUCAUACAGGGGGAUAACAGUUAGAAAUGACUGCUAAUACCGCAUAAGACCACAGCACCGCAUGGUGCAGGGGUAAAAACUCCGGUGGUAUGAGAUGGACCCGCGUCUGAUUAGGUAGUUGGUGGGGUAACGGCCUACCAAGCCGACGAUCAGUAGCCGACCUGAGAGGGUGACCGGCCACAUUGGGACUGAGACACGGCCUAAACUCCUACGGGAGGCAGCAGUGGGGAAUAUUGCACAAUGGGGGAAACCCUGAUGCAGCGACGCCGCGUGAGCGAUGAAGUAUUUCGGUAUGUAAAGCUCUAUCAGCAGGGAAGAAAAUGACGGUACCUGACUAAGAAGCACCGGCUAAAUACGUG